GACGAACGCUGGCGGCGUGCCUAAUACAUGCAAGUGGGACGCAAGGGAACACACUGUGCUUGCACACCGUGUUUUCUUGAGUCGCGAACGGGUGAGUAACGCGUAGGUAACCUGCCUAUUAGCGGGGAUAACUAUUGGAAACGAUAGCUAAUACCGCAUAAUAUUAAUUAUUGCAUGAUAAUUGAUUGAAAGAUGCAAGCGCAUCACUAGUAGAUGGACCUGCGUUGUAUUAGCUAGUUGGUAAGGUAAGAGCUUACCAAGGCGACGAUACAUAGCCGACCUGAGAGGGUGAUCGGCCACACUGGGACUGAGACACGGCCCAGACUCCUACGGGAGGCAGCAGUAGGGAAUCUUCGGCAAUGGACGAAAGUCUGACCGAGCAACGCCGCGUGAGUGAAGAAGGUUUUCGGAUCGUAAAGCUCUGUUGUAAGUCAAGAACGUGUGUGAGAGUGGAAAGUUCACACAGUGACGGAGCUACCAGAAAGGAC
rnacentral:rRNA from 1 species